rnacentral:lncRNA from 1 species
CACUACCUGCCCCCAUCAGCUCUCUUUCGUGCUCCAACCGGCCAUGCCUCCCUCGUGAAGUUCUCUCUCCCUUUUUAUUCCUUUCUUGCUUUUCUUUUAAUUUUUUAAAAAAAAUCUCAACACCCACCUUGAGUUUUUGUUGAAAUUACUUGGAAAACUAUUUCCUGCACUCAUUUCCACCUUCGAAUCUCCAUCUUUUAGCAAGGAAUUUUAUAGUUCUUGAGAGAGAAAAUAUAAGCCAGUGAGAGAAAGCUUCAAAAAGAUAAUAAAUGGUGUUUUUUCAUUUCUCUUGAUUAUUGAGAUUGGUUACAUGCGAAAAGCUUGCAAAGUUUUUAUGUUAAUUUUUUUUAUAUUUUUCGAGUACGAAAAAUGUGUGAAUGAUGAUGGAUGGUAUUAUAAGCUAUUCUGAAGUUGGAUUCAAGUGGUUGGGAGCUUGGAUUUGAGUAGAAAAACAUCCAAGAAGUAAGUACCCUUGAAUUUGUUAUCUUCCGCAUUAAAAAAGUGAUUUUGGAAUGUCACAAAUAGUGAAACAAAUGGUUGAAUGAUUAUGUGUUAAAUGUGGGAAAACAUGAUUUAAUGUAUUUUGAUAAAUGGAAAAGUAAAUGGUAACUUUAAUGACAUUGGCUUAAUUUUUUUGAAAAUGAAAUGGGUAUUAUAUUUUGAGAAAAUAAGUGUCAUGGCAUAAGUUUGAUAGUUGGAAUGAACAUACAAACGUGUUAAUAUGUUUAGUAAAGCAAAAUGAUGACAAUGUAACAUUGAGAUAUGGCUAAGAGUAGUUUUGGUCUAAUGUGAUAACUAAGAACUGUGAAAAUGAGAAUUCACUUGCUAUGAAAACGAUGAGACAAUGAAUUGUUCAAUAAGCACUUAUAUGUAGAAUAACCUCUUGGUAAUUCGGUAAUACAUGUCAUAUUGGAAAAAAAUCUUGUUUGAAAAUUAUUUUCUUGCACAACAAAAAAUAAAAAUUUUAAAAAGUAAGCUAGUUUGUGAUAUUUAUAGCAAUAAAUCCUUUACCGAAAUCGCACCUAUGUUUCCAGCUAGACGGAUGCUUCUCAUUCUUGACUUUUAACUGAAAGACCUUUUCCGCUAUUUUCGUACCACGAAUUACCUCAAGUAUUGGCUUGAAUGAUUCGAAUCAAACAUAAAACUAGAAAUAGUUUUCUUUACUUUCAAUGUGAAAGCAAAAUUUCUCUCAAUAGAAAUCAACAGAAUUGUUAUUUUGAAAAUAGAAUUAAUACUUAAAGAAUAAACUCUCACUAUUUUCAAACAGAAUAAAAAUAUCUUUAAGUUUUGUGUUUAGCCUUACAGGUGCCAUCAAUUUAUGAGAAGAGGUGAAAUCCUUGUUGAAUUGUAUAAGUUUAUUUCAAUUGAAAAACGAACUCCUACUCUAACUAGGAUUAGGUAGGGCGGCAACCCUAGUUAAACAAACAAGGAUUUGUUGUCCCUCUCUUUAAACAUGAAGGCUUUUGGGCCUCUCCCAUAUCUAGUCUAAUUAUGAGUACUUCCUAGACUUUUAACCCAGUACUUUAUAAUUCAACUUGACUCGAUAUUUGUUUUACUUUUUCUCAAAAUAAACAUCUUAAAUUAAUUUAAAUAAAUUAACAUUUCCAAUUAAAUAAUUUUCACAAUCCAAUUCUAAUUCUGUUAAAAUCAUGAUUACUUUACCUUAAAGGAAUCUAUGAGAAAACAUAUUUAAUAUUUCUACAUUCAACAUGUAACACCCCAAAAUUGGGCCUAGAAGUUUCGAGAGUAUCUUAGGAAUUUUAGCGUAUAUGUGUUUGAAAUUUCGUAAGGUUGGUAAUCAAUAAUGCUUUUGACAAUGGCUAUUAGGAAAUUAAGUCAAUUUCUGAAAUUGAGUUUUAAAUACCUUUAAUUUUGAAAGUAGGACUAAUUUAUAAAAGAGUCAAAACUGAGAGUUUUAUGAAGCAAAUUUGUAAUAGCCCAAAUUUCAGCGAUAUCGAAAAUAGUGGUUCGAGACCACCAAAUCCGACAAAUGAACUCGUAGAUUAUAUUAUUUAAUAUUUAUGAGCCAAAUGUAUCUUUUAAAAGAUUUUUGAAAUAAUAAAUUGUGUUUUAUAAAGAUUUAUUUGCUCAAGAAAUUGAGAAAAAAAAGUAUCGAGAUCUCAGUAUUAUAAACUGAGGCAUAAAUAUUUUUUAUACAUAUUUACGAAGUGUUGAUAAGGUAGUAUUAAAAUUUCGUUAGAAAAUUUUGACAUUUGGGUGAUUAAUUAAAUAAAAAGACUAAAUUGAAAAAGGUGUAAAAGUUGCUAGAAGGAUUAAAUAACUCAAUUGUCAAAUGAGGAAGGACCUAAAGUGUAAAUAAGCCCAAAGAAGAUAUUUUGGGCGGCAAUAGCUGUGAAAAAUCAGGAAAUGAGUGAAAUAAGGACAAAAUUAGAAAAUUGUCAAAAUUAGCUAAAUAAAAGUGGGACCAAAUUGGAAUAUCUAGAAUUCUCUUCAUUUUCUCUUCAUUUUCAUCAGCUGAAAAAUAGCCAUGGAAGAGGGUUCAUUCUGAUUUUCAUAUUCUAGCUUCAUGUAAGUUUAAUUCUUGCUUUCUCUUUGAAAUUUCUAAGAUUUUGGACUUUUACAAUUAGGUCCAACUUACUAUGUCAUUAGUUUUUGAUUCCAUGGCUAAUUUUUAAAGUUUCUAAGGAUGAGUGCUGGAAGCAUAUCAUUAAUAAAUAUAGAAUUUAAGCUUUAAUUUUGAUAUAUGAUGAUUUUAUCAAGUAAAAUUGAUGGAAAUUUAUUUUAGGACCUAAUUAUGAAAGAGUUUGGAAUUAAGGUCUAGUGCUAAAGUUCUAAUUUUUAGGGGUUAUGAAGUAGUUUAAAAUGAUAUACUAAAGUAUUAAUUGAGAAAAAUUAGCUCAAUUGAGGAGUUAAUUGAGCAAGGAUUGAAUUGUAUGAACUGUGAAAUUUGGGGUAAAAUGGAAAUCAACAUUUUGCAUUAAAACUGUUUUGGACAGCAGCAGUAGUCUAACUUUGAAAAAUCACCAAAAAUUGUAGAAAUCUAAUGAGAGGAUGAAUAAAAUAUGAAAUUAAAGCUUAUUGAUUCUAGUUUCUUAUAGAAGAAACGAUGUAAGCAAUGGAAUUGUCAAUCAGGAGAUAUAAUAAAUUUUGUAAGACAAGGUCAGAAUGAUUUCGGGUUCCCUUGUUCUGACUUUGGAAAAUCAUCAAAAAUUGAAAAAAAAUAAUUAGGGGCUUAAAUUUAUAUUUUUAGAAUUUUGAAUGAGUCUAUUUUUGAGAAAAACAAAACAGAAACAUUAUUCGAAUCCCGUACGAGAAGAUAAUUAUUUUUUAGUGAAGAAGAGUCAAAACUGUCAGACAGCAGAAUAGAGAUGACUUUAAAGAAUAAACUAUACUUAUUGGCUGAACCAAAAAUUCUUAAAAUUUUAUGGUAAGAAGAUAUGUAAGUCUAGUUUUAGGGAAAAUUAGAGGAUUUUAAUUUGAAGCUCCAUAGCUCAAGUUAAAAAUAAUUUAGUGACUAUGACACAGAUGGACAACUUUGGACUAUAAAUAUAAGUAAAUAGUGAAAUUAUAGAUAAUGUUACUUAUAAGCGUGUUAUAUACAUUAAGGAUAUGGAAUGGAGAGGAGGAGGAAAAUAUGUGAGUGACUUAUGCAUAAAUUGAUCACAUGCUCGAUUAUAUUUGGUAAAUGUUAAAGUUUGUUAAAAUGAAAAAUGUUAUAAAUUAAUGUUUGAAUUAAAUGUUAUAUAUGUUAAAGAAUAAUUUGAAUAUUUGAUAUUGCCUAAUAAAUGAAUAUCCAAUAUUACUUAGUAAAUGUCAAGCCAAAUAUAAAAAAAAAUGUUAUUAGUGGAACACAUGUGACAGAAUGUGGUAAGUAUUUUCAUUGUUAUUAUUGAGCUCAUUCACAUGAAUCUGUCAUUUGAAAUUGUGAUAGACAAGAAGAAAUAGUGAAUGACAUGCUUAUGUAUGGUUAUAUGUAUUUAUCUAAAACAUAAGAAAAUGAUGGAUAUAUAUUUGUGAUAAUACUCUAGAACGACAUAUUUUUAUGUGCUAAUUGCAUGUUUAUUUUGAGUAUGACCCUACUAAUUUGAGCUAUUUAUGGUCUUUUAUUUUUUUAGGGACUAAAUUGGAGGAAAAAGGAAAUUUAAGAGUAAAAACCGCAAAUUUGAAGAUACAAUGGGCCAACAUGCAACAUAGGGAAAAAGGUGGUGUCAAAAAUGCAAGUAUGGAAGACAUACGGGCAAAAGUGCAAAAGAUGAGAUUUUAUAG